rnacentral:tRNA from 1 species
UCCCACAUAGCUCAGUCGGCAAAGCAUCUGCCUGCAAUGUGGGAGACCUGGGUUCAAUUCCUGGCUCGGGAA